rnacentral:lncRNA from 1 species
AGAUCCUUGAAGCCUAAAACAAUUAUUCAGUAACACAAUUUAGCCAUUUAAUCAACAAAAUUUCACGAUUACGCACUUAAUGCCUAUGUAAAAAAUUUUGACAUGAAAUUUUCAACGGACCCAAACUUACCGAAACUUCAGCGACAAUCACAGAAAUUGUCGUGCUGCUAUUCCUUAUUUCUAAUAUUCUCGCCUAUUAGGGAAACAAAUGAUCAUUUAUCAGAGAUUCUCGCAACUCACAAAAUACCCAAUUCAAAGCAAGUUACGAAAAAGAAGAAAACCGCAGAAACGCUCACAUUGACAGCUACUUACCUGAUAGCCUUCUGACCAGCGACUAACAACAAAAUUUUUGUAAUUCCGUAUCCCCCACGAAUCCGAUUAGCAAAAUAAAAUAAAAUGGAAAAGAAUGAAGAAAAAGAUAGAAGUGACGAGAAAAAAAAGAAAUAAAAAAACUAAAGAAGGAAGAACAAACGUUAAUUAAAUUCCUAACUUUCAAGCAGAUUUCUAACAAUUGACAAAAAUUUUCCUUAUCGUCCCCUUCGGGACUCGAACACGGGACCUAACAGAAUAU